rnacentral:rRNA from 1 species
AGGAACCUACGGGGCGCAGCAGUGGGGAAUAUUGCACAAUGGGGGGAACCCUGAUGCAGCGACGCCGCGUGAGUGAAGAAGUAUUUCGGUAUGUAAAGCUCUAUCAGCAGGGAAGAUAACGACGGUACCUGACUAAGAAGCCCCGGCUAACUACGUGCCAGCAGCCGCGGUAAUACGUAGGGGGCAAGCGUUAUCCGGAUUUACUGGGUGUAAAGGGUGCGUAGGUGGCAGGGCAAGUCAGAUGUGAAAGCCCGGAGCCCAACCCCGGUACUGCAUUUGAAACUGUCCGGCUGGAGUGCAGGAGG